GGCUUGGUGGUCUAGUGGUAUGAUUCUCGCUUAGGGUAACACCCUGAAGCUCCUUCACGAUAUGCGAGAGGUCCCGGGUUCAAUCCCCGGCCAAGCCC